rnacentral:tRNA from 1 species
GAUGGUAUAGCUCAGUGCUAGAGAAGCUGCUUAGCAUUCAUGAGGUCCUGGGUUCAAUCCCCAGUACCUCCG